rnacentral:rRNA from 1 species
AAAAAAAAAAGGAAAUGCCCGAUCUCAUCUGAACUCGGAAGUAAAGCAGGGUCGGGCCUGGUUAGUACUUGGACGGGAGACUGUCUGGGAAUACCAGGU